rnacentral:tRNA from 1 species
GCCUGGGUGGCUCAGUUGGAUAAGUGUCUGACUUCAGGUCAGGUCAUGAUCUCAUGGUCUGUGGGUUCGAGUCCCGCGUCAGGCU